AUAUAAUGCACAGGCUUCACCCAGAGAUGGAACCAGCUCGAACUACCAACUGAUAAUGUCUCAAGCAGACAACAGGUGACCAAAUUAAGGAAAGAAACCAGGAUCCUGGCAGCCCAGGAAGCAGAGCCGGUCAUGACAACAUGCAGCUGAUGAUGUGGGGGUGAAAGGCUGAGUAAGCGGUUGCAAUCUGCAGUGAGCCAAGCUGAAAGGCCCGGGCGGAUGUGAAGGCUGGUGGUAAGGAAAUGGGAAGCAGGCAGCCAAGCUAACCCUGUGUCCACUGAAGGAGUGAGGUGGCCUUGAGCACAGCAGCAUCCCUGGGUCUUACGUCGGCCAGAAGUAGAAAGGGAAGAAGCCUAAAGGAAGUGAAAGUGUUGCUGGAUCUCCUGCUGGCAUUGCCUCCUCCUUCACACAGCAUCCCGGUUCUCCCUGCAGCCACCUGAUCUUCCCUUUGUCCCCUUCCUCACCACAGCCCCACCACCUUCACCACUCCAAGUUGAUGCUUCUCCUACAUCUGGCCAAGAUGCUACUCAGAGGUGGAUGAAAGCAAAAGUCACUGCUCUAAUACAAGAAAAGUCCCGGUUUUAGGUUUCAGAAACAGAAUUUUCCCGAAUGUUUAAAAUGGUGAAUGGUUCCAUAAACUGUGUUAACCAGGCUUCUUACAGGCUAGUCCCAGAAUCUGACCACCAUGUGCAAUACUGUUUCUAAGAAAAGUGUGCUCCAAGCAAGAACCUUCAAACAUUUAACCUGAAUGAAUGAAUAUAACCUCUUCA
rnacentral:lncRNA from 1 species